rnacentral:lncRNA from 1 species
AAAAAUGGGUUUAAACGGUGAAAAAUGAUUGAAAAUGGAAGCAGAGGAUCGCGUGACGAAGGAGGCUCUGAAACUGUUUGUGUGUGAAGAAUAAGGAAGAUGAUGACAUUGUUCCUGUGUCUUUUAUUUUUUUAACCUAAGUCAGGGAAUAAACCGUGGUUCACCACUUAACCGAGGCCUAUUCUCCUGAAAAAUAAUUCAAAAUACAUCUGAAAUGACAUUUUUGAAUUUUUUUUCAAACUUUAUGCUGCGGUUCACCACCAAACCGCAACCUAUUUCCUUAAAUAUUUAAAAUUUAAGAUUUUGUAGGUAGAAUAGGUCGCGGUUCUGAGGGGAACCGCGGCCUAUUCCACUUGCAAAUUUCUGACUUCUCGCCAAGUCAGAUCUGAAAAAAUAUUGCAGGGGAAUAGACCGAGGUUCCCCUCAAAACCGCGGUCUAUUCCCCUGAAUUUUUUUUUUUCAGAACUGCUUUUGGGGAAUGUUAGAAUUUUGCAGGGGGAACAGAUUGUGGUUCCCCUCAGAACCGCAGUUUAUUCCCCUGAAUUUUUUUUUCAUAAUUUUACAGGGGGAAUAGACCGCGGUUCCCCUUAGACGUCUAAUUUCUUGUUAAAUAACACUAUGAACCAGCGGUUUGCGAACCAACUCUUUGAUCGUCUUUUCCUUUUCUCUUCGCUGCUCUGCAUUUCCAAGUAAGUUUCCUCUCCUUUUAACUAUUUAAAUUUGUUUUUACUCCGAUUAAAGAAAUCUUUGAUGUAUUAUCUCU